rnacentral:rRNA from 1 species
AUUGAACGCUGGCGGCAUGCUUUACACAUGCAAGUCGAACGGUAACAUGCCUUCGGGUGCUGACGAGUAGCGGACGGGGGAGUAAUGCCGCGGAACGCUCCCACAGCUGGGGGAUAACGCAGAGAAAGCUGUGCUAAUACCGCAUGUGAUCUGAGGAUGAAACCGGGCGACCAGGCAGCAAUGUUUGGCCCCGGGCCUUCGGAGCUGCUGAUGUCAGAUUAGGUAGUUGGUGGGGUAAAGGCCCACCAAGCCGAAGAUCUGUAGCUGGCCUGAGAGGACGACCAGCCACACUGGGACUGAGACACGGCCCAGACUCCUACGGGAGGCAGCAGUGGGGAAUUUUGGACAAUGGGCGCAAGCCUGAUCCAGCAAUGCCGCGUGCGGGAAGAAGGCCUUCGGGUUGUAAACCGCUUUUGUACGGAACGAAAAGGCUCUGGCUAAUACCUGGGGCUGAUGACGGUACCGUAAGAAUAAGCACCGGCUAACUACGUG